UCCCCUGUAGCUCAAUUGGCAGAGCGUCGGACUGUUAAUCCGCAGGUUCCUGGUUCGAGUCCAGGCGGGGGAGCCA
rnacentral:tRNA from 1 species